rnacentral:RNase_P_RNA from 1 species
GCGGAGGGCUGGAUGGCCGCGGAAGGCGUCAGCCUUGCGAGGAAAGUCCGGACUCCACAAGGCAAUGGUGCCGGGUAACGCCCGGCCGGGGCAACCCGAGGGAAAGCGCCACAGAGAACAGACCGCCCCGUUCUUCGGGGUAAGGGUGAAACGGCGGUGUAAGAGACCACCGGGGGGCUGGUAACAGACCCCGCAUGGCAAGCCCCACCAGGAGCAAUGCCGAAUAGGGAUCCCGCGCGGCGCGACCGCAGGGUAUGACUUGGCCCAGGGAUCCGGGUUGGCAGCUAGAGGUCCGCAGGUAACUGCGGGUCAAGAUGAAUGGUCAUCCAGAGCGCAUCUGCGCUUGGACAGAAUCCGGCUUACAGGCCCUCCGCGCAU